AGGCAGGUGAAACCAAGCAAUGUCAGGCUAACCCAGAUAUUGGAUCAAUCAAAACCACAUUCUGACUUGAUGCAGACCACGAAGCCCCAAAUUUUAAGUCUGAUGAAAUAACUGGAUGAAGCAUUUGAAGCCUAUUAAAGGGGUAAAUUUAAUUGCAUUAAGAAGAAGGAAAUGUUGACCAAGGGUGUCAACUGCAAUCGAAUAUUUUCAGUGUCCAAGGUUUUUGUUGCUCCCUACCCUCGCACUGUUUCACCAGAGGUUGACUAUGCAUUGCUGACUGCUCCUUCAACAUAUAUUACACACAGGACUUUCUUGAUGAUUCAGUGGUUAUGAAUCCAUCUUGCCAUAUGGAGGACACCAAUUUGAGUCCUGGUUCAGGAAGAUCCCUCAUUCCAUGGAGAAACUAAGGCCAUGCACCCACCCUGAACCCAUGCUCUAAAGCCCGCAAGCCACAACUACUGAGCCCAAGGGCUGCGACUGCUGAAGCCUGCACAUCUAGAGCCGGUGCUCCACAGCAAGAGAAAUUACAGCAAUGAGCAGCCUGCACACUGCAGUGAAGUGUAGCCCCAACUUGCCAAAACUAAGAAAUUCCACAUGCAGCAACAAAGACCCACGAC
ensembl:lncRNA